rnacentral:lncRNA from 1 species
GUCCAAGAGCAUAACCCAACUAUCUAAACCACUUGUAAUUUUUGAAAUGACUUAUACAUUGUCCACCAUAUAAUGCUUUCUGGAAAUAACCUCCCUUUGUGAUCCCACUGAGAAUUUGAUGCUGCCCAUGACCCUCCAACAAUAUAUAACAAAUAGGGUAAUUCCUCAUGUCCAUCCCCAAUUGGAAAAGUUAGCACCAAGUUUUCAAAUAUACCCCAUAAUUCUAUUAUCCGACCUAUAUAACAAAUUCAACUCCCUCUCCUCGUAACUAACUCACCCGCUUCUCAAAUUUUCCUCUUCGAAUGACUCUAAGUGGACCUUGGACCAUUGGGACUACAAGGACAUACAAAAGGUAACUACCGGAAACCUUAUCAGUAAGCUAAUCAAACACAAGCACACUCCACUUUGCAUUUGCAAAAUCA